GAGGAGAAGGAGGAGCGGACCGGGCGCAGGACGGGUCGCCACGCCCGCAGUGCUUGGGCUCCAGCGGCCCGCUGCGCUCCAAGUGAAUCCCCUGCAAACUUUUCCAGAGGAGCUGCGAACCACAGCGCCCCCGCUUUCCCGAGCUGCUCCCCGCUUUAGGGGACCCAGGGUCCGUCCAGGCUCCGCGCACUUCGCCCAGAGCUCCGCUCCUCCCCCGCACUCCUGGCUCGGACGCCAGGAGCGAGCGCGCAGCAGAAGGCGGCAGUCCCCUGGCCGCCGCUCCCGCGCCCCAACUCACCCUGUCCCAUGGCCCUGCCGGGAGCCCCGAGCUCGCAGCUGCUUCGGCUACCUCGCCCUGCAGAAGUGAGGGCAGGUUUAAGCCCGUCCAGUCUUCCCAGGAAUGCUUCUCUUGAUGUAAACAUCCAACAGCUGUGAUUUGAGGACUGGACAUUCUCUUGAUGACAGUUUAUAAGCUAAGAAAGAACAGCAGAGAUUUAGUGGCCUGCAAGUUCACAGGAAUAAAGGAAUCUCAGAUAGUGCUUGCUUGGUUGUAGUUUCGGUUCCUGCAAGAGUUCUUCUCGGAGGAGGUGUCCCACCUGACAACCAGUUGCAUUUGUAUAUUCUCUCCUUAUUCUUAGAAGCAUGCCAACAAUUUUUAAAGUAAGUCAUAUUGAUGAGUCCCAAAGCGUACGUCAGGAAAUAAUACUAAAUUAAAAAUAUAGAAAUGGAUACCUCAAGUGGCAAAUAUGUGAUUGGCAUUGAAAACAUGAUGUAGGAUAACAGAGGACUUACAUUUUUGGUUCACAUUAAAAUUAAACUAGUAUUUAUAACCCAUGCUUAAUUAAAGGUUCUUCGUUGUUCAUUCAUUGCAACCACCACCAAUGAUUUCUGGAAUUAAAAGUACUAACUACUACUCCA